GACGUAGGGCGCGAGCGUUGUCCGGAUUUAUUGGGCGUAAAGAGCUCGUAGGCGGCUUGUUGCGUCGACUGUGAAACCACGCGGCUUAACUGCGGGCUUGCAGUUUGAUACGGGCAGGCUAGAGUUCGGUAGGGGAGUGGGGAAUUCCUAGUGUAGCGGUGAAAUGCGCAGAUAUUAGGAGGAACACCGGUGGCGAAGGCGCCACUCUGGGCCGAAACUGACGCUGAGGAGCGAAAGCAUGGGUAGCAAACAGG
rnacentral:rRNA from 1 species